rnacentral:rRNA from 1 species
UAGAGUUUGAUCCUGGCUCAGAUUGAACGCUGGCGGCAGGCCUAACACAUGCAAGUCGAGCGGUAGCACAAGAGAGCUUGCUCUCUGGGUGACGAGCGGCUGACGGGUGAGUAAUGUCUGGGAAACUGCCUGAUGGCGGGGGAUAACUAGUGGAAACGGUAGCUAAUACCGCAUAACGUCGCAAGACCAAAGUGGGGGACCUUCGGGCCUCACGCCAUCAGAUGUGCCCAGGUGGGAUUAGCUGGUAGGUGGGGUAACGGCUCACCUAGGCGACGAUCCCUAGCUGGUCUGAGAGGAUGACCAGCCACACUGGAACUGAGACACGGUCCAGACUCCUACGGGAGGCAGCAGUGGGGAAUAUUGCACAAUGGGCGCAAGCCUGAUGCAGCCAUGCCGCGUGUGUGAAGAAGGCCUUCGGGUUGUAAAGCACUUUCAGCGAGGAGGAAGGGUAAUGUGUUAAUAAGACAUUGC